AGUGAACGCUGGCGGCGUGCCUAAUACAUGCAAGUCGAACGAAGUGGCUCACGGGUGCGUAAUAUAUAGUUAAUCUGCCCUCCACAGAGGAACAACCGUUGGAAACGACUGCUAAUACCUCAUAGUGUAGGAUGAGACUAUAUCGUAUCAGCUAGUUGUUAAGGUAAUGGCUUACCAAGGCUAUGACGCGUAACUGGUCUGCGAGGAUGAUCAGGCACAUUGGAACUGAGACACGGUCCAAACUCCUACGGGAGGCAGCAGUAAGGAAUAUUGAGCAAUGGGGGAAACCCUGACGAAGCAACGCCGCGUGGAGGAUGACACUUGUCGGAGCGUAAACUCCUUGUAGCAGGAAAGCGGUACCUGAUGAAUAAGGACCGGCUAACUCCGUGCCAGCAGCGGCGGUAAUUC
rnacentral:rRNA from 1 species